rnacentral:rRNA from 1 species
AUGGAGGGUAAGAGGAUGGUCACUAGCACUACCACUUUGAAGGUGAUCAUGUGCCUGCUCAUCCUGAGCCUCACCGUAAACUCGACCACCGCAGACUGUGGCUGCUGCAUAAGCUUAGCCGCAAAAGGAUGUUGUUCUACUUGUAUUUUUGCGGGUGGCUCUGACUUUGCCUGCAAGAACACUUGUUGUUUCCCUGUAUUCUUGAAGAUUCUGUGGUUGCUAAGAUGGAUGAAAUGGGAGUGGCUUCGAAGAUGGAAGGACUGUACUAAAACGAUAUGCUUGCAUUGCUACCAACAUGGAUGCCAUUCAUCGGCAUAUGUUGGAUUGCUUCGAUCUAUGGCCAAGUUAUGCUAA